rnacentral:rRNA from 1 species
GACGAACGCUGGCGGCGUGCCUAAUACAUGCAAGUCGAGCGGACCUCUUCGGAGGUCAGCGGCGGACGGGUGAGUAACACGUGGGCAACCUGCCUGUAAGACUGGGAUAACUCCGGGAAACCGGAGCUAAUACCGGAUAGUAUCUUGAACCGCAUGGUUCAAGUUGGAAAGACGGUUUCGGCUGUCACUUACAGAUGGGCCCGCGGCGCAUUAGCUAGUUGGUGAGGUAAUGGCUCACCAAGGCAACGAUGCGUAGCCGACCUGAGAGGGUGAUCGGCCACACUGGGACUGAGACACGGCCCAGACUCCUACGGGAGGCAGCAGUAGGGAAUCUUCCGCAAUGGACGAAAGUCUGACGGAGCGACGCCGCGUGAGUGAUGAAGGUUUUCGGAUCGUAAAACUCUGUUGUUAGGGAAGAACAAGUGCGAGAGUAACUGCUCGCACCUUGACGGUACCUAACCAGAAAGCCACGGCUAACUACGUGCCAGCCGCCGCGGUAA